AUGGUUCUCAAUCAGAGGCAGGUGUUCGUCAUUGUCUCUGAUUGGGAACCAUAUUUAGGUAGCCUGGGUUUCACUGUGUGUUUGUGGGUGAUUGUUCCUGUUUUUGUGUUUGCACCAGACAGGGCUGUUUUGAGUUCUCACGUUUCUUGUUUUUUUCCGUUAGUUUGUUCAUGUAUAGUGUCGUCAAUAAAUACAAUGAACAACCACCACGCUGCGCUUUGGUCCGCCUCUACUUCACAAGAAGAGAAUCGUUACAGAAUCACCCACCACAACAGGACCAAGUGGUGUGGUAAUGGGCAAAGGAGAAAGCAGCAGCAGGAGCAGCGCGAGGAGGUAUGGACAUGGGAGGACGAAUUAGACGGUAAAGGACCUUGGGCUCAGCCAGGAGAAUAUCGCCGCCCCAAGGAAGAACGGGAGGCGGCGAAAGCGGAGAGGCGCUGGUACGAGGAGGCAGCGCGGCGUCGUGGAUGGAAGCCCGGGAGUCAGCCCCAAACAUUUCUUGGGGGGGGGCUAACAGGGAGUAUGGCUACGCCAGGUAGGAGACCUGAGCCAACUUCCUGUGGUUACCGGGGGGCUAGAGAGACCGGGCAGGCACCGUGUUAUGCUGUGGAGCGCACGGUGUCCCCAGUGCGGGUGCACAGCCCGGUGCGGUACAUUCCAGCUCCGCGUAUCGGCCGGGCUAGAGUGGGCAUCGAGCCAAGUGCCAUGAAGCCGGCUCUACGCAUCUGGUCUCCAGUGCGUCUCCUUGGGCCGGCUUACAUGGCACCAGCCUUGCGCACGGUGUCCCCGGUUCGCCUGCAUAGCCCAGUGCGGGCUAUUCCACCUCGCCGCACUGGCAGGGCGACCGGGACCAUUCAACCGGGUAAGGUUGGGCAGGCUCGGUGCUCAAGAGCUCCAGUGCGCCUGCACGGCCCGGUCUAUCCGUCACCACCUCCACACCCCAGCCCUCCGGUGGCAGCUCCCCGUACUAGGCUGUCUCUUCGGCCCAUCCGUCCAGAGCCUUCCUCCUCUCCAGCGCUGCCGGAGCCUCCCGCCUGUCCGGCGCCUCUGCCGGAGCCUCCCGCCUGUCCGGCGCCUCUGCCGGAGCCUCCCGCCUGUCCGGCGCCUCUGCCGGAGCCUCCCGCCUGUCCGGCGCCUCUGCCGGAGCCUCCCGCCUGUCCGGCGCCUCUGCCGGAGCCUCCCGCCUGUCCGGCGCCUCUGCCGGAGCCUCCCGCCUGUCCGGCGCCUCUGCCGGAGCCUCCCGCCUGUCCGGCGCCUCUGCCGGAGCCUCCCGCCUGUCCGGCGCCUCUGCCGGAGCCUCCCGCCUGUCCGGCGCCUCUGCCGGAGCUUCCCGUCUGCCCGGCGCCAUCGGAGCUUCCCGUCUGCCCGGCGCCGCCAGCGCCGCCCGUCUGCCCAGCGCCGCCAGCGCCGCCCGUCUGCCCAGCGCCGCCAGCGCCGCCCGUCUGCCCAGCGCCGCCAGCGCCGCCCGUCUGCCCAGCGCCGCCAGCGCCGCCCGUCUGCCCAGCGCCGCCCGUCUGCCAGGAGCCGCCAAUGCCGCCCGUCAGCCAGGAGCCGCCAAUGCCGCCCGUCAGCCAGGGGCCGCCAGUGCCGCCAGUCAGCCAGGGGCCGCCAGUGCCGCCAGUCAACCAGGGGCCGCCAGUGCCGCCAGUCAGCCCAGCGCCAGCGCCGCCAGUCAACCAGGGGCCGCCAGUGCCGCCAGUCAGCCAGGGGCCGCCAGUCAGCCAGGGGCCGCCAGUGCCGCCAGUCAGCCAGGGGCCGCUAGAGCCCCUCCGCCCGGAGCAGCUGUCCCUCUGUCCGGAGCAGCUGUCCCUCUGUCCCGAGCAGCUGUCCCUCUGUCCCGAGCAGCUGUCCCUCUGUCCCGAGCAGCUGUCCCUCUGUCCCGAGCAGCUGUCCCUCUGUCCCGAGCAGCUGUCCCUCUGUCCCGAGCAGCUGUCCCUCUGUCCCGAGCAGCUGUCCCUCUGUCCCGAGCAGCUGUCCCUCUGUCCCGAGAAGCUGCCCCUCUGUCCCAAGCAGCCCCUCUGUCCAGUGGGGUCAUUGAGAGGGGUGGGCAUGGUGAGUAAGCCACGGAGGCGGACAAUAAGGCGGACUGAGACAAUGGCGAAGUGGGGUCCGCGUCCCGCGCCAGAGCCGCCACCGCGGACAGACGCCCACCCAGACCCUCCCCUAUAG
rnacentral:lncRNA from 1 species